rnacentral:rRNA from 1 species
AUUGAACGCUGGCGGCAGGCCUAACACAUGCAAGUCGAGCGAGCGGUGGACGGGUGAGUAAUGUAUGGGGACUGCCCGAUAGAGGGGGAUAACUACUGGAAACGGUGGCUAAUACCGCAUACUCUCGGAUAACCCAUAUGGGAUUAGCCAGUAGGUGGGGUAAAGGCUCACCUGGGCGACGAUCUCUAGCUGGUCUGAGAGGAUGAUCAGCAAAACUGGGCCUGAGACACGGCCAAGACGCUGACGGAGGCAGCAGUGGGGAAUAGUGCACAAGGGGCGCAAGCCUGAUGCAGCCAUGCCGCGGGUAUGAAGAAGGCCGUAGGGUUGUAAAGUACUUUCAGCGGGGAGGCGUUACCCGCAGAAGAAGCACCGGCUAACUCCGUGCCAGCCGCCGCGGUAAUAC